rnacentral:lncRNA from 1 species
CUCUGUCAGAGCACUUUGAAAAAGUGGUCUGUGGUAUCUGGCUCUCGAGAUUCGGAGAACGAUGCCUCUUCGAUUUUUGAGAAAGCAAUCAUGCUGGGGGUAUGACUCUCGAGAUUCGGAGAGCAGUGUCUCUUCGAUUUUUGAGGAAGUAAUCAUGUUGGGAGUCUGGCUCUCGAGAUUCGGAGGGUGGUGCUUCUUCGAUUUUGGAGCAAGCAAUCUUGUUGGGAGUGUUGUCUCGAAUGUGAGUAUAGGUUGGGCAUGUUUGCUAGUCUACCUUGCCACGAAGCACAAAGGUUGACCACACAGGGACUUUCCAAUUAUCCAGCAAUGGUACUGUUCCUUUACCCUCUCUUCGAUUUUGAGAAAGUAGUCAUGUUGGGAGUCUGGCUCUCGAGAUUCGGAGGACGGUGCCUCUUCGAUUUUUGGAGCAAGCAAUCUUAUUGGGAGUGUUUUCUCGAAUGUGAGUAAAAGGUUGGGCAUGUUUGCUAGUCUACCUUGCCACGAAGCACAGAGGUUGACACACAGGGACUUUCCAAUUAUCCAGCAGUGGUACUGUUCCUUUAC